CCAUUUUUAUAUAAUUCUGGGUCAAUGUACCGAAACGAUGUUUUGUUCGGCUUAUCACGUGUUUAUUAUCUAGUAUGUUAUGUAUGCUACUGAUAAUAGUUAUAUAUUUAAACAAAGGAGUGACAUCUUAGCUGAAUCCUAGAGUGGUAAUUGGAUCUAAUGGGUAACGAUUAUGAACGGUGACGUGAAACCACAUAUUAUGUAUAUUAUCAUAAUAUGUUUAAGAAUAGAAACCGAAGUAUUCAACCUAAUUGUUGAUAUCCAAAAACCUAAUGGCCUAUUAUUCUUAUAUGAAGACACAUUCGUACAAAGUUCGGAGAUAUGUGUGACCCAUAGAAAUGUCCUAUCACGCUGGCUUAUAGGAAUAGGGAAGACGUGCACGCAUUGCGGCCAACGACCGCGGGAACUUGAAACUAUUACACAUCCGCGCACCCUGGACGACUUAUAUAAGUGACGUUUUUUCAAAUUUCAAUGUUUAAGUUGGAAUCUGGUAGACAGUAACGGUGACCAGAGCCGGUGCUUUUGACGCACAACGUAUCCAUAUCUCAAUCCAACAAGGAAAGGAUUUAUUUAAAUAUUUUU